GAAGCAAUGUCUCUUUGAGGUUUCAGUAAGUCGGGGGCUGUAAAGCUCUCGUCUACACCCAUGUCUUUUGCGUACUCUUGUUUCCUCGGUGGCGCAAGCUGCCGAUUGGACAAACCAAAACCUUUUUUGUAAUUGCAAUCAGCGUCUGAAAAUAAUCUAAUUAUUUACAACUUUCAACAACGGAUCUCUUGGUUCUGGCAUCGAUGAAGAACGCAGCGAAAUGCGAUAAGUAGUGUGAAUUGCAGAAUUCAGUGAAUCUACGAAUCUUUGAACGCACAUUGCGCCCCUUGGUAUUCCAUGGGGCAUGCCUGUUCGAGCGUCAUUUGUACCCUCAAGCUUUGCUUGGUGUUGGGCGUCUUGUCGUAUUACGACUCGCCUUAAAUCUAUUGGCAGCCGGCACUUUGGCCUAGGAGCGCAGCACAUUUUGCGAUCGUAGCGGGUUGUACUGGCGUCCAUCAAGAACAUUUACCACGUUUGACCUCGGAUCAGGUAGGGAUACCCGCUGAACUUAAGCAUAUCAAUAGCCGGAGGAGGAUCAUUAUCAAAAGUCAAGUCGGGGGCUGUAAAGCUCUGUCUCACAUGUCUUUUGGUACUCUUGUUUCUGGUGGCCAAGCGCGAUUGGACAACAAAACUUUUUUGUAAUUGCAAUCGGUCUGAAAAUAAUCUAAUUAUUUAAACUUUAAAGGAUCUCUUGGUUCGGCAUCAGAAAAGACAAAAUGCAUAAGUGUGUGAAUUGAGAAAUUCGUGAAAUCAUCAAUCUUGAACGCAUGCUUGGUAUUCAGGGGGCAUGCGUUGCAGCUCUUUUACUACACUUUGCUUGGUGUUGGGGCGUCUUGUCUAUUACACUCUUACAAUCUAUUGAAAGCGCUCUGGCAGAGCGACAUUUUGCAAUUAAGCAUUGGUCUGGCUUAGAAAAUUACGUUGAACUCGAUCAGGGAGGGGACCCUCGACUAAUCAUAUUCAGGGAGAAGAAAAGAUUC
rnacentral:rRNA from 1 species